GACGAACGCUGGCGGCGUGCUUAACACAUGCAAGUCGAACGGAAAGGCCCGGCUUUGGUGGGGUGCUCGAGUGGCGAACGGGUGAGUAACACGUGGGUAACCUGCCCUUGACUUUGGGAUAACUUCAGGAAACUGGGGCUAAUACCGGAUAGGAGCUCCUGCUGCAGGGUGGGGGUUGGAAAGAUUCGGCGGUUGGGGAUGGACUCGCGGCCUAUCGGCUUGUUGGUGUGGUAGUGGGUUAGCAAGGCCUUGACGCGUGGCCGGGCUGAUAGGGUGACCUGCCCCACUGCGCCUGGGCUGCGGCCCAGACUCCUCUGCGACGCAGCAGUGCAGUAGAUUGCAUUAGAGGCUGGAGCCUGAUGUGGCACCGCAGUGUCCGGGAUGAGGUCAUGGGGUUAGGGUUCUGCUUCUGCUUUUGACGAGGUGAUAGUGACGGUACCGGGUAAAUAAGCACCGGCUAACUACGUG
rnacentral:rRNA from 1 species